UACGUAGGGUGCAAGCGUUAAUCGGAAUUACUGGGCGUAAAGCGUGCGCAGGCGGUGAUGUAAGACAGAUGUGAAAUCCCCGGGCUCAACCUGGGAACUGCAUUUGUGACUGCAUCGCUGGAGUGCGGCAGAGGGGGAUGGAAUUCCGCGUGUAGCAGUGAAAUGCGUAGAUAUCAAGAGGAACACCUGAGGUGAAGACGGGUUGCUGGGCUGACACUGACGCUGAGGCGCGAAAGCGUGGGGAGCAAACAGG
rnacentral:rRNA from 1 species